GACUAACGCUGGCGGCGUGCUUAACACAUGCAAGUCGAACGGAAAGGCCCUGCUUUUGUGGGGUGCUCGAGUGGCGAACGGGUGAGUAACACGUGAGUAACCUGCCCUUGACUUUGGGAUAACUUCAGGAAACUGGGGCUAAUACCGGAUAGGAGCUCCUGCUGCAUGGUGGGGGUUGGAAAGUUUCGGCGGUUGGGGAUGGACUCGCGGCUUAUCAGCUUGUUGGUGGGGUAGUGGCUACCAAGGCUUUGACGGGUAGCCGGCCUGAGAGGGUGACCGGCCACAUUGGGACUGAGAUACGGCCCAGACUCCUACGGGAGGCAGCAGUGGGGAAUAUUGCACAAUGGGCGGAAGCCUGAUGCAGCAACGCCGCGUGCGGGAUGACGGCCUUCGGGUUGUAAACCGCUUUCGCCUGUGACGAAGCGUGAGUGACGGUAAUGGGUAAAGAAGCACCGGCUAACUACGUG
rnacentral:rRNA from 1 species